GAUUUUUAAACAGAACACAAGUGCUGACUAAUGGUUUCAUAGCUUGUGGUGUACAUUUUCAUUUCUCUUAUAAUGUCCUGAUCUUGCUUCAAUUCUAGGGAACAGGAUAACUGGUGGAUGGUGAGUUGCUCCUGAUAUGAUUAGUAAAAUGCUUCCUCUGUGGCUAGCAAAUUGCUCUUUGAUCAUAAGCCCAUCUUAUGUCUCUCACACAAACUCACACACCACCACAGGCAUAACUGAGAAUGUGGCAUCUACCUGUGGGGCCAAGGAAGGGCAAGGAAGCAACAGCAACUAAAGAAAUAACAGUAGCAACAAUAACAACAACUUUGUUUCUCCAAGUUUGUAUCACACUGGUUCAGAAUAA